rnacentral:rRNA from 1 species
GACGAACCGUGCGAACGUUGUUCGGAAUCACUGGGCUUAAAGGGCGCGUAGGCGGUCAGCACAAGUCAGUUGUGAAAUCUCCGGGCUUAACUCGGAAAGGUCAACUGAUACUGUGCGACUAGAGUGCGGAAGGGGCAACUGGAAUUCUCGGUGUAGCGGUGAAAUGCGUAGAUAUCGAGAGGAACACCUGCGGCGAAGGCGGGUUGCUGGGCCGACACUGACGCUGAUGCGCGAAAGCCAGGGGAGCGAACGGG